GUUUCUUUUCACACAGCUCUUUUUGUAGUCUGUUCAGCCCACAGUGACUUCUGACAUUCAUGCUAAUUACUCAGGACAGCUUCAGAGAUGACAGGAAACAGAACGACAGAUCGGGGGUGAUACGCAGCAAAGGGCCCCAGGCAGGGACUCAAACCCAGGGCCACUGCAGGGAACCCGCUCUACCAACUGAGCCAACAGGUCCAAUUGUGUUGAUUCUGUUUACAGGAUGCACUGACCUGAGUUAAUCCUCCCCAAAAUUCAUCCUACACACUUUUUCAAUUGAAUUACUUAUCUGACCUGGAUACCUAUGAACCGUAUCUAAAAACCUGGUUUUCUUGCUAA